rnacentral:rRNA from 1 species
CCUACGGGGGGCUGCAGUGGGGAAUAUUGGACAAUGGGGGCAACCCUGAUCCAGCCAUGCCGCGUGUGUGAAGAAGGCCCUCGGGUUGUAAAGCACUUUCAGUGAGGAAGAACGCCUGGUGGUUAAUACCCAUCAGCAAAGACAUCACUCACAGAAGAAGCACCGGCUAACUCCGUGCCAGCAGCCGCGGUAAUACGGAGGGUGCGAGCGUUAAUCGGAAUUACUGGGCGUAAAGCGCGCGUAGGUGGCUUGAUAAGCCGGUUGUGAAAGCCCCGGGCUCAACCUGGGAACGGCAUCCGGAACUGUCAAGCUAGAGUGCAGGAGAGGAAGGUAGAAUUCCCGGUGUAGCGGUGAAAUGCGUAGAGAUCGGGAGGAAUACCAGUGGCGAAGGCGGCCUUCUGGACUGACACUGACACUGAGGUGCGAAAGCGUGGGUAGCAAACAGGAUUAGAUACCCCUGUAGUC